GCCUGGGGCUGGUAUAGCUCAGUUGGUAGAGCAUGGUAUUCUUAACCAUGUGAGUUCGAGUCCCAUGCUGGGCA